UGGGGAAUAUUGCACAAUGGACGGAAGUCUGAUGCAGCAACGCCGCGUGCGGGAUGACGGCCUUCGGGUUGUAAACCGCUUUUUCUCAUGACGAAGUUUUUUGACGGUAGUGGGGGAAGAAGCACCGGCCAACUACGUGCCAGCAGCCGCGGUGAUACGUAGGGUGCGAGCGUUGUCCGGAAUUAUUGGGCGUAAAGAGCUUGUAGGCGGUUUGUCGCGUCGAUAGUGCAAACUCAGUGCUUAACGCUGAGCCUGCUGUUGAUACGGGCAGACUAGAGGAAGGUAGGGGAGAAUGGAAUUCCCGGUGGAGCGGUGGAAUGCGCAGAUAUCGGGAGGAACACCGGUGGCGAAGGCGGUUCUCUGGGCCUUUCCUGACGCUGAGAAGCGAAAGCGUGGGGAGCGAACAGG
rnacentral:rRNA from 1 species